UCCCAUCACAGCGACCAUCUCCUC
rnacentral:siRNA from 1 species